CUUAGGAUAUAAUCACUAAGGGUGAAAGGGAGUCCUUGGCGGUGACACUUGGGUUUACUGCAAGUAGGCCUCCACAAUUAUUAUCAUCAUUUAUAGAUUCUAUAGAACCUUAAAAAUUUAUAAAGGGGGAAAUUUAACAGUUAAUGAGGCAUUUACAAAAUGUUACAGGAUCAACAGGUUGACGAGCACACUUCUCGAAAGUGCUUUGUGAACGAAGUUCCCGAACGUUGAAGGCCAGCAUCCGGCCCCCAUACUGUAGGCCUAGUCCCAAGAGCCCCUAGAACGAGACUAUUGUUACUGUGGGGGCUUCCCAUAAUUGAGGACCUUUGGGGAAUGCCUGGACUCAUUUUUACACAUUGAGCGCUUGACCAGGAGAUACCCUGAAACACUCUGGAACUGUUCCUUAUAUCAGCUGUGUACGAGGACCGGUCAAUAUUUAAGUGGGUAUCGCUCAGUAUCCUGACCUCUAAAUAGAGCACUAUUUGGAGGGGAGGUUGGGGGACACCAUUGGAUACCCAGAACAUGAGAGUACUCCGACUAAGCCCUUUUUGGAUACCUGGACUAAGCCGGCUCAACGGAUUGAAGAAUAGGCAUGACCUGGUAAAACUACUAACACGCUGGGGAGCAGAUUCACUGAUCAAGGCACUACUUGGACAGCGAGGGUACUCAGUGACUAGCUUUCCGGAGAUUUAUAUUGUGUGAGGGUACGGUCCAGGAAAAGGGGCUUUUGAUGGAGAUUUUGUAUGAUGUGCCUCUAGGACUGUAAAGAGCUGAUUGUGUUAGCUGGGGAUAAUGUUAUUAAAUUACCAGACAGAGUGGUCCUGGGGAGGGACAAUUGUACUGUGCAUUGCUUUGUAUGGAGGACCCCC